ACUCCAACAGAACCCAGGUGCUCUGAGUUUGGGGAAUAAAAGGGAAAAAUGCAGGGUGGGGCAGGAAAGGAGCUUUCUCAUUGCUUCCUUUAGCUUUGACUGCUAGGUCUGAGCUGCUUCUCAUCUUGCCACUUGCCCAGGCUCAUGUUCUAGCCAUAAUGCAAGCCUUUUCUUGAUGAAGGAACUCCAGUAGAUGUGGAGACUCCGUUUCUCUCUAUAACUGCCUGAAGGUUUGGUCUCUUCUCCCAGGAACAGAACAAGAGAACACAUCCUCAAGCUGUGCUAAGGCAUUCUCAAGGACAUUCUUCUAUGUCAGGAAGGAAGCAAAAAAGAUACCAUCACUCCAGAGAUUCCUGUCAUUCCAGAUCAGGGACUGGAAUGAAAUGGUACCAGCAUUUUUCCUGCUAUCAUCAGUUUCAGCACAGUUUAUUAUUAAUUUUUAAUUACCUUUUGAGAACUGAGAUAUUUCGUCUGCUGAAUUUCUUAUGAUAUGACUUCUUCUGUCGACAGAUGGAAACUCUUUCUACCAAAAAAUGUGAGGAAUAUUGUACUUUCUGCUUUUAUGUUGGGUGAAUCCUAAUGCUUGACAAGUUAAUGAUCAGUUUUUCAUGCUGGAAGCCCUGAAUUUCAUCAGCACUUUUUCAUGUUCAGUGACAAGUCCGACAUUUGCAAAACUGUCCAAAAUAAUUAGUGGAGUGUGUCCACUCAUGUGCACAAGCCCCUGAUAACAGUGUGCUAAUGACCUGCAUAAAAGUGGCCUUUCAAAAUGUGCCUGGAUCCUUGAUAACACAUGGAAAAAAAAUCCAAAAUGAAUAAAUGAGCAUAAUUUAACUCUU